rnacentral:rRNA from 1 species
GUAAUCACUUGUCUUCUAAAUAAAGACUCGUAUGAACGGCUAAAUGAGGACAAACCUGUCUCCUAUGACCAAUCAGUGAAACUGAUCUUCCAGUACAAAAGCUGGAAUAUACCCAUAAGACGAGAAGACCCUGUGGAGCUUAAAACCAAAUACUAAUCACCCAACCUAGUACAAGGUUUUGAGUUGGGGCGACUUUGGAACAAAACACAACUUCCAAGCACAGAGACACCUCCCUCUAUUCAAGGCCAACAAGCCUAAAAACUAAAAAUGACCCAGUCAUACUGAUCAACGAACCAAGUUACCCCAGGGAUAACAGCGCCAUCUUCUUCAAGAGUCCAUAUCGACAAGAAGGUUUACGACCUCGAUGUUGGAUCAGGACACCCAAAUGGUGCAGCCGCUAUUAAAGGUUCGUUUGUUCAACGAUUAACAGU